rnacentral:misc_RNA from 1 species
UUUUAAACCUAAUCUCGUCACAUACUUAUCAAAACACUCAUACCAGUCCCUUGGACUUUCUUUUAACCCAUACAGCGCUUUCGAUAGUUUACAAACUCUAUUCGUUCCGUCCACAUAUCCCUUUGGUUGAUUUACAUAUACCUCCGAGGUUACUUCACCAUUUAAAAAGGCAGUUUCUACAUCCAUUUGCUCAAUAAUUGAUCCAUUUUGACAACAAUAUGAUAGCAAUAUCUUAAAGGUCUGAUUACUCGCUACUGGGGAGUAUAUGUCAUCAGCUACGUUUCUUUGUUGGAAUCCUCUUACCACUAAUCUAGCCUUAUACCUGUCAUCUGAUUUUCUCGUGUAAACCCAUUUUCCAUCUAAUACGUCUUUGCU